UGCACGUAAAUCUCGAGAGCUGUCCGACGCGACAUCGUCCGAUGCGACCAACAAUUGGCCGUUCUUCGGCGCAUCGGUAUCGCCGCAUCUGUACUCGACGAAAGAAGCGGCACCGGAUUGCAAGGGGCACAAUAGUCACGAGUGAUUUGCAUGUUGGACUUACCGCUGAUGCAGUGAUCGUCGAUCAUUAAUAACGAGCGAGCUCAGAAAGGAGCCGCUCAACCGCACUUGAAUCGCAUGCCGAAUCUCUUUGUAUUCUGCGAAUGAGAUGAGGUCGAUUCGAAAUUAUGGAGGGAAACCGACAUUUUGCACGCCGUAUUCGUAUACUCUGAGCGAUCAAUUCGCGAAGAUAUCUUGCCGUCCGUUCGAACACAUGCGUGCCACUGAAAAUUUCGAAGAGAGAGGGAUAGAGUGGUAUAUAUAAUCCGAUCCUAUAUGCGAGAUCGACUUGAGUUCCUUCCGAAAUGUUGCGAUGUGUACGGGGAGAAUGUAUAUGGGGAGAAUUUUUAAAUAAAAACAAGAUAACCGAGGGAUAGAUCGAUAUUCUGCAGUAA